rnacentral:rRNA from 1 species
CGCGUAGGCGGUCUUUUAAGUCAGGUGUGAAAGCCCGGGGCUCAACCCCGGAAGUGCACUUGAAACUAAGAGACUUGAGUAUGGGAGAGGGAAGUGGAAUUCCUGGUGUAGCGGUGAAAUGCGUAGAUAUCAGGAGGAACACCGGUGGCGAAGGCGACUUCCUGGACCAAUACUGACGCUGAGGCGCGAAGGCGUGGGGAGCAAACA